rnacentral:rRNA from 1 species
GAUGAACGCUGGCGGCGUGCCUAAUACAUGCAAGUAGAACGCUGAAGGAGGAGCUUGCUCUUCUGGAUGAGUUGCGAACGGGUGAGUAACGCGUAGGUAACCUGCCUGGUAGCGGGGGAUAACUAUUGGAAACGAUAGCUAAUACCGCAUGACAACAGUUAUUGCAUGAUAACUGUUUAAAAGGGGCAACUGCUCCACUACCAGAUGGACCUGCGUUGUAUUAGCUAGUUGGUGAGGUAACGGCUCACCAAGGCGACGAUACAUAGCCGACCUGAGAGGGUGAUCGGCCACACUGGGACUGAGACACGGCCCAGACUCCUACGGGAGGCAGCAGUAGGGAAUCUUCGGCAAUGGACGGAAGUCUGACCGAGCAACGCCGCGUGAGUGAAGAAGGUUUUCGGAUCGUAAAGCUCUGUUGUAAGAGAAGAACGAGUGCGAGAGUGGAAAGUUCACACUGUGACGGUAUCUUACCAGAAAGGGACGGCUAAUUACGUG